GUGAAUCAUCGAAUCUUUGAACGCAAAUUGCACUCUCCUCGGAGAGUAUGCCUGUUUGAGGGCCAGCCUAUAAAAAAUCGACAUCGUUUCUGUUUCGCGGUGUCGUUCGUUGGAAAUUGGGUCCUCUUAAAUCCUUUUGGUUUUAAGUGAUUUAAAAUUUUCUUUUUGGUUCCAUGAACGUUUCUAAGAUUUAUUUCUUUACACGUUUAAGGUAUCGAUUUUUAUUAGACGUGACCAUCAUAUCGGAUCGCA
rnacentral:misc_RNA from 1 species